rnacentral:misc_RNA from 1 species
CCGAGUUUACAACUCCCAAACCCCUGUGAACAUACCACUUGUUGCCUCGGCGGAUCAGCCCGCUCCCGGUAAAACGGGACGGCCCGCCAGAGGACCCCUAAACUCUGUUUCUAUAUGUAACUUCUGAGUAAAACCAUAAAUAA